rnacentral:rRNA from 1 species
GACGAACGCUGGCGGCGUGCCUAAUACAUGCAAGUAGAACGCAGAGGUGGGAGCUUUCUUCUCUGGAUGUUUUGCGCACGGGUGUGUAUCGCGUAUGUAACCUCUCUGUUUGCGGGUGAUAACUAUUGGGAACGAUAGCUAAUACCCCAUAAUAUUUGUUGUUGCAUAACAUUUACUUGAAAAUGGCAAUUUCGUCGCUACCAGUUGAUCCUGCGUUGUAUUAUGUAGUUGGUGAUGUAACGGCUCAACCAGGCAACGAUACAUAGCCGACCUGGGAGGGUGAUCGGCCACCAUGGGACUGAGACAAGGGUCAAGCUUCUUCGGGAGGCAGCCGUAGGGAAUCUUCGGCAAUGGACGGAAGUCCGACCGAGCAACGCCGCGUGAGUGAAGAAGGUUCUCGGAUCGUAAAGCCCUGUUGUAUGAGAAGAACGAGUGUGAGAGUGGAAAGUGCACGCCGUGACGGUACCUAACCAGAAAGCGACGGCUAACUACGUG